rnacentral:tRNA from 1 species
UUAGUUAAAGCCAAAAAGAGGCAUGCCACUGUUAAUGGUUGAAAUGAGAACAACUCUCUAACUAA